UGGGGAAUUGUUCGCAAUGGGCGCAAGCCUGACGACGCAACGCCGCGUGGAGGAUGAAGAUCUUCGGGUCGUAAACUCCUGUCGAAUGGGACGAACGGGUUGUGGGUUAACAGCCCGCAACCGUGACGGUACCGUUAAAGGAAACCCCGGCUAACUCCGUGCCAGCAGCCGCGGUAAUACGGGGGGGGUAAGCGUUGUUCGGAAUUACUGGGCGUAAAGGGCUCGUAGGCGGCCAACUAAGUCAUACGUGAAAUCCCUCAGCUUAACUGGGGAACUGCGUGUGAUACUGGAUGGCUUGGAUUUGGGAGAGGGAUGCGGAAUUCCAGGUGUAGCGGUGAAAUGCGUAGAUAUCUGGAGGAACACCGGUGGCGAAGGCGGCAUCCUGGACCAAUAUUGACGCUGAGGAGCGAAAGCCAGGGGAGCAAACGGG
rnacentral:rRNA from 1 species